rnacentral:rRNA from 1 species
AACUAACGCUAGCGGCGUGCCUAACACAUGCAAGUCGUACGAGAAAGUCGGCUUCGGCCGGCGAGUAAAGUGGCGCACGGGUGAGUAACGCGUGGAUAAUCUACCCUUGAGUUGGGAAUAACGUGCCGAAAGGUGCGCUAAUACCGAAUAAUACUGAGUGACUAAUGUUGCUUAGUCAAAGAAGGCCUCUGCUUGCAAGCUUUCGCUGAAGGAUGAGUCCGCGUACCAUUAGCUAGUUGGUAGGGUAAUGGCCUACCAAGGCAACGAUGGUUAGCUGGUCUGAGAGGAUGAUCAGCCACACUGGAACUGAGACACGGUCCAGACUCCUACGGGAGGCAGCAGUGAGGAAUAUUGCGCAAUGGGGGCAACCCUGACGCAGCAACGCCGCGUGAGUGAGGAAGGUUUUCGGACCGUAAAGCUCUGUCGAGCGGGAAGAAAUGCAUGCUGGCUAAUAUCCAUCAUGCUUGACGGUACCGCU